rnacentral:rRNA from 1 species
UACGUAGGGGGCAAGCGUUGUCCGGAUUUAUUGGGCGUAAAGAGCGUGUAGGCGGCUUUACAGGUCCGUUGUGAAAACUCGAGGCUCAACCUCGAGACGCCGGUGGAAACCGUAAAGCUAGAGUCCGGAAGAGGAGAGUGGAAUUCCUGGUGUAGCGGUGAAAUGCGCAGAUAUCAGGAAGAACACCCGUGGCGAAGGCGGCUCUCUGGGACGGUACUGACGCUGAGACGCGAAAGCCAGGGGAGCAAACGGG